rnacentral:lncRNA from 1 species
ACAGAUUCAUCUUAAUCCAUAUAUCCUUUUUCUUUCCAUUUUGAACAUCAAAAUUUUAACAGCAAGAUAACCAAACAAACACACAUGGGCGAUGGAUAUAAAGCUAAACCAAAUGGAAGCUAAAACGGAGAAAUGGAAAUAGAAACUCAAAAAGGAAGCUAACCAGUUGCGGCGAGAUUGACCGACGGAUGUAGGUAAGGUUUCGUCUGAACCGGUCUUUGUUCUUCUUAUCCGUUCUUCACCACCAAGAAAAACUAGGGUUUUCUUUUCUCCUUGUCGUCGACUUCCUUUUUUGUUAGUGAAUAUUAGCGGCUCUCCUAAAAAAUUAGGGUUUUUUGUGAAUAGUAAUUGCCCCUCUUUAUAUAUGACUAAUCUCUUUCCUCUGAUGUGUAGUGGAGGUUGUUCGUACGGAGGAAGCUUGGAGGUUUUUUGUCCUCACCCCAGCUUGGUGGUCCCUCCCUCAAUUCUCUUCAUUUAGAAAACUUUACUGUUGGUAAGAAAGGUUUCACCACUGUAUUCCUACUUAGGUGAAAAUAGGAUGCGUUUUUUACUCGAACUGAUUUUGUGUGUUAUGUGUUGCAGCAGUCCUGCUUGGAAAUUAAAUGAUGAUUUGGCAUGGCUUUCACAUGACUUUGGUGCGAUUCGUUCGGAGGCAAAAUGUUGCGGCAUUGGAUUUGUUGUGAUGUUCGAUUUCAAUCUGGUCUAGGAAUCCCAAGGAAUACAAAUGAUAAGCUUUUUCUUCUUUGUUCAUGCCAUCUUAGUACAUCGAGACUUGGUGAAUUUACGCAGAACUCGUUACGUUUGAUGCUGCAUGAGGACAUGCUGAGUUUGUGGGCGUAAAGUUUCAUGGUAUUCAUUAGGAGGAGUUCGUAUGGUUAUGAAUGACUUUGAGUUGGUGUGUGUGUAGUUUGUUAUUGUAGCAUGACUUGUGAUGGAGAAGUAUGAGGUGGUUUGAGUGAAGAUAUAACGUAUGGGUUUAUGAAGAUAUGGAGUUUUUAAGAGAUCAAAUGGGAGGUGUUUGUAAUGGUGGUUUAUACAUAUGAGAUAAAUAGUGGAUAUGAAUGAGGAAAUAAUAUGCAGGUCAUUUUUUGAGGUGAAAAAGGGAGUACAGUGAGAUUAUAUUGAAGAAAAAGAACAGAAUUGUUAUGCGUGUUGUGUUGAAGUUGAGAUUUAUGAAGUGUGUUU